rnacentral:lncRNA from 1 species
UAGAUACAUGGCUACAAUACAAGUGUGUUCCCACUUUCACUUCUGGAUUAUGGGUUUUCAUUCUGAUUACAUACAACCAUGAGAAUUUCUUCAUGAAAAGGAAGGCUCUGAGAAACUGGAUCCCAGAGGAUUUGGGGCUCAUUGGCCUAAUCCCUUGAGCAUUGGUGAUGCUUCUUUUGAUGGAUAACCUUUCAGAGAAAUGUGCAGAGAGAGCAGUGAUGAGCAAAAGGGGUCAAGACCAGGCUGGAGAAACCCACAGAAACAGAUGACCUGAACAAGGGGUUCUCAAGGACCCCAGACUGACAGUGGAGAACAAGCAUAGGAC